GAUGAACGCUAGCGGCAGGCUUAAUACAUGCAAGUCGUGGGGCAGCAUGAAUGUAGCAAUACAUUUGAUGGCGACCGGCAAACGGGUGCGGAACACGUACACAACCUUCCUAUAAGUGGGGAAUAGCCCAGAGAAAUUUGGAUUAAUACCCCGUAACGUAACGAUGUGGCACCACAUUGUUAUUAUAGCUUGGGCGCUUAUUGAGGGGUGUGCGGCUGAUUAGAUAGUUGGCGGGGUAACGGCCCACCAAGUCUACGAUCAGUAGCUGAUGUGAGAGCAUGAUCAGCCACACGGGCACUGAGACACGGGCCCGACUCCUACGGGAGGCAGCAGUAAGGAAUAUUGGUCAAUGGACGCAAGUCUGAACCAGCCAUGCCGCGUGAAGGAUUAAGGUCCUCUGGAUUGUAAACUUCUUUUAUCUGGGACGAAAAAAGGCUUUUCUAAGUCACUUGACGGUACCAGAUGAAUAAGCACCGGCUAACUCCGUGCCAGCAGCCGCAGUAAAAC
rnacentral:rRNA from 1 species